UGCAGUCAGACAUUCAAUCUAAGGCGGAUAAGACUCCUGUCACCGUAGCUGAUUAUGGGCCAGCAGGUCCUGAGGCCAAUUCACUCAAGGAAAAUGGUGAAAAUUGAACAUUGUGAUGAGGGUGAUGCCACUAGUGCCGGCGCCAGCGCUCCCAGGAGUGGUGCCAUUGACCCGCAGCAACUUGAUCCCACACUUGUUGUUGUCAAGGCAGAGGAGGAGCUGGAUUCGUUCUAAAAAACGAGGUCGUAUUUAUUAAGCAAGAUGAGCUUCUCAAAGAAAGAAGUCGACUUGGCAUUCAGCGAGUUAGGUGAGGGCGCUUCACUUGAUCAUCUUGUAAAUUGUAUUAUCACUAAUCAAGAAGCUUC